AGUGAACGCUGGCGGUAGGCCUAACACAUGCAAGUCGAACGGCAGCACAGUAAGAGCUUGCUCUUACGGGUGGCGAGUGGCGGACGGGUGAGGAAUAAAUCGGAAUCUACUUUUUCGUGGGGGAUAACGUAGGGAAACUUACGCUAAUACCGCAUACGACCUACGGGUGAAAGCAGGGGAUCUUCGGACCUUGCGCGAUUGAAUGAGCCGAUGUCGGAUUAGCUAGUUGGCGGGGUAAAGGCCCACCAAGGCGACGAUCCGUAGCUGGUCUGAGAGGAUGAUCAGCCACACUGGAACUGAGACACGGCCCAGACUCCUACGGGAGGCAGCAGUGGGGAAUAUUGGACAAUGGGCGCAAGCCUGAUCCAGCCAUACCGCGUGGGUGAAGAAGGCCUUCGGGUUGUAAAGCCCUUUUGUUGGGAAAGAAAAGCAGCAGGUUAAUACCCCGCUGUUCUGACGGUACCCAAAGAAUAAGCACCGGCUAACUUCGUG
rnacentral:rRNA from 1 species